rnacentral:rRNA from 1 species
CGACCGGCAAACGGGUGCGGAACACGUACGCAACAUACCCUUAACUGGGGGAUAGCCUUCUGAAAAGGAGAUUAACACCCCAUAGUAUCGAUUGGUGGCAUCACCGGACGAUUAAAAAUUUAUUGGUUAGGGAUUGGCGUGCGUCCUAUUAGCUAGUUGGUGGGGUAACGGCCUACCAAGGCGACGAUAGGUAGCUGGUGUGAGAGCACGACCAGCCACACGGGCACUGAGACACGGGCCCG